AUAAAGAAUGAGAAAUUUCAGUUCGAAUGUUGGUAUUUCUUUUCAAGAUUCCAUUAAACAUCUUCUCUUAUACAGUUGUAAAGUAUAAUGGCUUCUUGCAAUGGGUUUCCCUCUUGAUUUUGCAGACAGUUGCAUUACAUUUGGUGCUUCUCAUUGUCGUUUGUCCCUAAUUUCAUGUCGUGAAGUGUCCUACAAAUUUCCAUCUAUUCAUAUCGGCAUCGUUCUUUUAUAAGUUGGAAGAGAUCUUGUGGAAUGGGAACAAUGAAGUGGAGCGGGUCUCUAGUAAGGCGAGGCUAUAUGUUGUGGAUUGGGCCUCUUGCAUAAAUGCUUUGAAGGAUUGUAAUUUUAUUUCAGAAGCUCCAAUGCUAACUGCUACUGAAUUUUCUCUCUUUUCUUCUUUGGUAGAAAUGUUACUUUUCCCCGUUGGUAUCGCAGUCACACUCAGAGGAAAUAUGAUGUAUUCAUUUCUGGAUCGGCUCGUAAAUUUGGGGCUUCCAAGGACUAGGGACUUCCAAGGCAUGAACCCCAACAGUUUUGAUGUGCACAGCAACUUCAGCAUUGGCAUGAGUGAGCAGAGCGUGUUCUCGAAAAUUAGUUCCUUAUCUUUAGAUAUGAUCUUGAGUUGGUAAAUGUGGAUUUUAUGGGUGUGGACUUUCAGGGAAAAUUGCCAAACUGCUCUAUUUCUGCAAAACGGACACAGGUCAAGUACUACAAUUUAGUGCCACACAACUGGGCAGUUGGUUGCAUUUCUGCUUCUUUAAGUUGUUCCUCUUCUUAAUCAUUGAUCAGAAGACAUGCAAAAAUC